AUGCCUAGCUGCGCCGUGACUUCCCCUGCCUCCGCCCGCUUGCUGUGGAUGGAGCCGCUGGUGUGGCCUUGCAUCGCCGCCCCAGGCCGCGCCACAUCUCCGCUUCCACUCCGGGCCUCACUUCGAGUCAUCCCCAUAGCCAUGGCCUCGCACAGCCACUUCUGCCGCCAGGUUGAGUCGCCGUUGUGCUCCGAGUUGCAGCAUCAACUCGCCAACAUCGUCAUCAUCGCUUGCACGAAUAGACUGACGAACCAGCUCACCUCUGCUGUUUCCUGCUCCAAACCGUCGAUGCUAAAUCACCAAGCUGCUACCUUGUCACAUCACUUCCACUGGAGGGCCGCCUUGCCGCUGCUAUAA
rnacentral:rRNA from 1 species